AGAACGAACGCUGGCGGCAGGCUUAACACAUGCAAGUCGAACGCUCGUAGCAAUACGGGAGUGGCAGACGGGUGAGUAACACGUGGGAACAUACCCUUUGGUACGGAACAACUCGGGGAAACUCGAGCUAAUACCGUAUACGGCCGAGAGGCGAAAGAUUGAUCGCCGAAGGAUUGGCCCGCGUCCGAUUAGCUAGUUGGUGAGGUAAUGGCUCACCAAGGCGACGAUCGGUAGCUGGUCUGAGAGGAUGGCCAGCCACAUUGGGACUGAGACACGGCCCAAACUCCUACGGGAGGCAGCAGUGGGGAAUAUUGGACAAUGGGCGCAAGCCUGAUCCAGCCAUGCCGCGUGAGUGAUGAAGGCCUUAGGGUUGUAAAGCUCUUUCGUCAGGGACGAUAAGUGACGGUACCUGAAGAAGAAGCCCGGCUAACUUCGUGCCAGCAGCCGC
rnacentral:rRNA from 1 species